UAGAGCAGAGAUCCUCCCAAGUCCCACCACCGCGAAGCCUUCCUCUUCAGGCCAGCACGCCACCCUUUGACCCAGCAGGCCAGCAACACGCCACCACCCACUGACUCAACAGGGCAGAGCACCACGCCAGUGAGACGUCACGAACUAGCAGCGUUUCUGGGUUCUGGCCACGAUCAUCAGUUCAACCCAGCACCUCCCAGUCUCCCACAACACAGCAGCCACCGGUUGGCCCUCUUCCAGUGCUCUUCCUCCUUACCAUCCACUUGACUUCAGGGUUCACUGCUGCUAUUAUUGAUUAUUGAUGAGGUCAUUCUGAAUUGAAUAGAUGUCUUUAUUAAUCAAAUCAGAUAAUUUUCUAGAUGUCUUUAUUCUUUAUCAUGUUGAGUGGUUACUCUUAAAAUUUAUUUUAAUAAGAUGGUUCUAGAUGAUGGAUUAAGUAUGUAUGUAUGUAUGUAUCAAUGGGUUGAUUAGAUGGUUGCUGGAUUGAUGGAUCUAAUUGCAGUCUUGCUCUUAUUGUUGCAUAGAAGGUUCUGAUAACUGAUAUGAUUCAAGAUUCACCUUUUUAGUUAGCAUGACUUAUAUGCUCUUAAACUUUGAGUUGAUUCAUUGAUUCGGGCACAUGUAUCAUGGUAUGAAUUGUUAUCUUUAUUAUUAAAAUGUAUAACUUGGCUAUCUUUUAAUGGAAAUUUAUUUUUAUUUUCAGUUGUGUUGACUAUUGAACUUUUAAACUUCUUUAAUUGUUGUAUUUGAAUUUCUUUUGUCGUUAAAUUUUAUUAGACCAAUACUUUGUUAGCUAUUGUAUAUUUGUGUUUGUUGAUUUCAAUGUUAUGAUUUUGUGAAAUAGUAUGGUAGUAUUUUUUUUAAUUGAUU